CAGCAGCCGCGGUAAUACGUAGGGUGCGAGCGUUGUCCGGAAUUAUUGGGCGUAAAGAGCUCGUAGGCGGCUUGUCGCGUCGGAUGUGAAAGCCCGGGGCUUAACCCCGGGUCUGCAUUCGAUACGGGCAGGCUAGAGUUCGGUAGGGGAGAUCGGAAUUCCUGGUGUAGCGGUGAAAUGCGCAGAUAUCAGGAGGAACACCGGUGGCGAAGGCGGAUCUCUGGGCCGAUACUGACGCUGAGGAGCGAAAGCGUGGGGAGCGAACAGGAUUAGAUACCCUGGUAGUCCACGCCGUAAACGG
rnacentral:rRNA from 1 species